rnacentral:rRNA from 1 species
AACGAACGCUGGCGGCAGGCCUAACACAUGCAAGUCGAGCGGACAUCUUCGGAUGUUAGCGGCGGACGGGUGAGUAACGCGUGGGAACGUGCCCUUUGCUUCGGAAUAGCCUCGGGAAACUGGGAGUAAUACCGGAUGUACCCUUUGGGGGAAAGAUUUAUCGGCAAAGGAUCGGCCCGCGUUGGAGUAGGUAGUUGGUGGGGUAAUGGCCUACCAAGCCGACGAUCCAUAGCUGGUUUGAGAGGAUGAUCAGCCACACUGGGACUGAGACACGGCCCAGACUCCUGCGGGAGGCAGCAGUGGGGGAUCUUAGCCAAUGGGGGAAACCCUGAUCUAGCCAUGCCGCGUGAGCGAUGAAGGCCUUAGGGUUGUAAAGCUCUUUCACCGGGGAAGAUAAUGACGGUACCCGGAGAAGAAGCCCCGGCUAACUCCGUG